rnacentral:lncRNA from 1 species
UGGGGCAUCCGUGUACUUUGGACACAUUCUUGUUUGUUAUCUGUUUAAAUGGUUGCUUAGUAUUCUUUGUUAUCUGUUUAAAUGGUUGAUUAGUGUUCUUUGUUAUCUGUUUAAAUGGUUGGUUAGUGUUCUUUGUUAUCUGUUUAAAUGGUUGAUUGGUGUUCUAUGUUAUCUGUUUAAAUGAUUCAUUAGUGUUCUUUGUUAUAUCUGUUUAAAUGGUUGGUUAGUGUUCUUUGUUAUCUGUUUAAAUGGUUGAUUGGUGUUCUUUGUUAUCUGUUUAAAUGAUUCAUUAGUGUUCUUUAUUAUCUGUUUAAAUGGUUGAUUAGUGUUCUUUGUUAUCUGUUUAACUGAUUCAUUAGUGUUCUUUGUUAUCUGUUUAAAUUUUUGAUUAGUGUUCUUUGUUAUCUGUUUAAAUGGUUGAUUAGUGUUCUUUGUUAUCUUUUUUUAAAUUGUUGAUUGGUGUUAUCUGUUUAGAUUGUUCAUUGGUGUUCUUUGUUAUCUGUUUGAAUUGUUUCAAAUUUAGUAUUCUUAAGUUUGCUAGCAUUUUACAUGUGUGUUUCGUGUUUCCUGGUAGUCGUUUAAAUGAUUGUUUGGUGUUCUUUACUACCCAUUUAAAUGGUUUAUUGGUGUUCUUUGCUAGCCGUUCAAACAUUUCGAUGGUGUUCAUUUUACUUACAAGAAUUAACCGACUAAUCGAUUCCAGGAGAUUAAUAAUCAACAAUGUAUUGCGGUUAACUUUAUACGUCAUUCAACAUUUCACCUUGUCAUGUUUUGCUCAUUUGCAAUCAAUAAUGCGUCCUGGUUAAAAUUGAGGUUAACCAUCCAUUCGGCAAACCUCGGUAGAAUCCGCUACUCCCCGUAGAUGAGGGUACGGAAUCGGCCGAGUUAAGACGAAUGGUUAACCAUCAAGUUAUAUUUUGAGUUUGGUUUCUAAUGAAAUAUUAUAUAUGUUGUACAAUAUAAAUGAUAGUUUAAAUAUACCAUUGAAUAUGCAUUGUCCAGUAAAAGUUUAAAGGAAACAACAUUAUAAUGAUUAGGACUUGUGGGUAUAGGUAAAUAUAAAACAACCCAACAACAAACAUAACCAUUCGAUAAUCUGAGUGCUUAUAAUCACGAAAAUAUGUAUAGACAUAUUAUAUACAAAUUAAUGCAAGCUCUGAUUCGUCUAAAUCCAAAAAAAAAACAACAAAAACUUCCAAAUAAAUUUAACAUAAAUAUCAUUCAUAAUAAAAAAAUAAUCUUAAAGUUAAUAGAAAGAUAUUAUGAAAUGGCAUAUGUCAUAACGUAUGAAGAGGUUCAUGAUUUGGUACUAGCACAUGAAAAUUUGUCGGUUUACAGCAGAAUGCAUUUAGUAUGUAGGUAAAGAUAGAAUAUUUGGUUAGCUUUAUUGUUAGGUGAACCGUGAAGUCGUUAUAAGUUUAUGAAUCCUACCCUCCUUUCGGAGUAGUCUAGUCCUACAUACGGAUGAAUUGGUUAUCUGUCGAACUAACCUAUUAAUAAAAAUUUAAUGAAUUUAUGGUUCAGCUGGCGAGCAAGUUAACAAAAGAUAUAUCCUUUACCUACACACUCAAUGCAUUCUGCUGUAAACUAGUUUUAUAACUAAUUAGUUAUCAUAUACACCUUAGUAACUCCAUCGGUAUUGUAAUUAUAACUCGUCUAAACAUCAACCCAACAAUGUUAGUUCUGUGAAUUUGCUUUCGCAAAUUUUUUGUUCUUCCCUCGCCGGGAUUUGAACCCAUGCUACUGUGAUAUCGUGACACCAAAUCGCC